GAUGAAGAACGCAGCGAAAUGCGAUAAGUAAUGUGAAUUGCAGAAUUCAGUGAAUCAUCGAGUCUUUGAACGCACAUUGCGCCCCCUGGUAUUCCGGGGGGCAUGCCUGUCCGAGCGUCAUUGCUGCCCUCAAGCACGGCUUGUGUGUUGGGCCCCGUCCUCCGAUCCCGGGGGACGGGCCCGAAAGGCAGCGGCGGCACCGCGUCCGGUCCUCGAGCGUAUGGGGCUUUGUCACCCGCUCUGUAGGCCCGGCCGGCGCUUGCCGAUCAACCCAAAUUUUUAUCCAGGUUGACCUCGGAUCAGGUAGGGAUACCCGCUGAACUUAAGCAUAUCAAUAGCGAGGA
rnacentral:misc_RNA from 1 species